UACGUAGGGUGCGAGCGUUGUCCGGAAUUAUUGGGCGUAAAGGGCUCGUAGGCGGUCUGUUGCGUCGGGAGUGAAAACUCAGGGCUUAACCCUGAGCCUGCUUCCGAUACGGGCAGACUAGAGGUAUGCAGGGGAGAACGGAAUUCCUGGUGUAGCGGUGAAAUGCGCAGAUAUCAGGAGGAACACCAGUGGCGAAGGCGGGUCUCUGGGCCGAUACUGACGCUGAGGAGCGAAAGCGUGGGGAGCGAACAGG
rnacentral:rRNA from 1 species